GACGAACGCUGGCGGCGUGCUUAACACAUGCAAGUCGAACGGAAAGGCCCUGCUUUUGUGGGGUGCUCGAGUGGCAAACGGGUGAGUAACACGUGAGUAACCUGCCCUUGACUUUGGGAUAACUUCAGGAAACUGGGGCUAAUACCGGAUAGGAGCUCCUGCUGCAUGGUGGGGGUUGGAAAGUUUCGGCGGUUGGGGAUGGACUCGCGGCUUAUCAGCUUGUUGGUGGGGUAGUGGCUUACCAAGGCUUUGACGGGUAGCCGGCCUGAGAGGGUGACCGGCCACAUUGGGACUGAGAUACGGCCCAGACUCCUACGGGAGGCAGCAGUGGGGAAUAUUGCACAAUGGGCGGAAGCCUGAUGCAGCAACGCCGCGUGCGGGAUGACGGCCCUCGGGUUGUAAACCGCUUUCGCCUGUGACGAAGCGUGAGUGACGGUAAUGGGUAAAGAAGCACCGGCUAACUACGUG
rnacentral:rRNA from 1 species